ncrna:Bacillus mycoides RAGATH-18 RNA
CCUGUGGAGUGUUACAGCAAACUGUAGUAGCGAGUUAGUGGCGAGACAGGACACAUAGAGGCAGGAA